AUUGAACGCUGGCGGCAUGCCUUACACAUGCAAGUCGAACGGUAACAGGUUAAGCUGACGAGUGGCGAACGGGUGAGUAAUGUAUCGGAACCUGCCCAGUCGUGGGGGAUAACUGCUCGAAAGAGCAGCUAAUACCGCAUACGACCUGAGGGUGAAAGCGGGGGAUCGCAAGACCUCGCGCGAUUGGAGCGGUCGAUAUCAGAUUAGGUAGUUGGUGAGGUAAAGGCUCACCAAGCCGACGAUCUGUAGCUGGUCUGAGAGGACGACCAGCCACACUGGGACUGAGACACGGCCCAGACUCCUACGGGAGGCAGCAGUGGGGAAUUUUGGACAAUGGGCGCAAGCCUGAUCCAGCCAUGCCGCGUGCGGGAAGAAGGCCUUCGGGUUGUAAACCGCUUUUGUCAGGGAAGAAAAGGUUCUGGCUAAUACCUGGGACUCAUGACGGUACCUGAAGAAUAAGCACCGGCUAACUACGUG
rnacentral:rRNA from 1 species